ACCCGUGUGGUGUAGUGGUUUGAGCAUUCAUUGGACUAUGACUCUGGAGACCAGGGUUCAAAUCCUGGCUCAGCCA